GACGAACGCUGGCGGCGUGCCUAACACAUGCCAGUCGAACGGAACUGUUUUGAAAGAUUUCUUCGGAAUGAAUUUGAUUUAGUUUAGUGGCGGACGGGUGAGUAACGCGUGAGUAACCUGCCUUCAAGAGGGGAAUAACAUUCUGAAAAGAAUGCUAAUACCGCAUGACAUAUCGGAACCACAUGGUUUUGAUAUCAAAGAUUUUAUCGCUUGAAGAUGGACUCGCGUCCGAUUAGUUAGUUGGUGAGGUAACGGCUCACCAAGACUGCGAUCGGUAGCCGGACUGAGAGGUUGAACGGCCACAUUGGGACUGAGACACGGACCAGACGCCUACGGGAGGCAGCAGUGGGGGAUAGUGCGCAAUGGGGGCAACCCAGACGCAGCAACGCCGCGUGAAGGAUGAAGGUUUUCGGAUUGUAAACUUCUUUUAUUAAGGACGAAAAAUGACGGUACUUAAUGAAUAAGCUCCGGCUAACUACGUG
rnacentral:rRNA from 1 species